rnacentral:rRNA from 1 species
AAAUUGAAGAGUUUGAUCAUGGCUCAGAUUGAACGCUGGCGGCAGGCCUAACACAUGCAAGUCGAACGGUAACAGGAAGCAGCUUGCUGCUUUGCUGACGAGUGGCGGACGGGUGAGUAAUGUCUGGGAAACUGCCUGAUGGAGGGGGAUAACUACUGGAAACGGUAGCUAAUACCGCAUAACGUCGCAAGACCAAAGAGGGGGACCUUAGGGCCUCUUGCCAUCGGAUGUGCCCAGAUGGGAUUAGCUAGUAGGUGGGGUAAC